AUGCCCUUCUGCUGUCAGUGAGCUGGGUGGCCUCAUCCUCCUGAAUGUCGGCCUGCUGUUGACACAGCAGAGACGUCGCACGUUGAAGGUUGUCCACGUUUUCCAGAUGUGCAAAGAAGCUCCGAGAGGUGACGUCACUCCCCUAAAGUCACGUAGCUAGUGAGUGGCCCAUAAUUCUUCAAUGAUAACACAGCUGUCUUCUAGAUGGGUACACAGGUAAUUUUUAAAAAUCUGGAUUUUAACUUCUUUUUUUUUUAAGAUUUCAUUUAUUUAUUUGUCAGAGAGAUAGAGAGCACAGGCAGACAGAAUGGCAGGCAGAG
rnacentral:lncRNA from 1 species